AUUUCAUGAGUACACACAGCUACUCAAGACAAAGGGGCAACUUCUUUAUGACAAAAUAUUCCACAGUUUUCUUGGUUCUAUUUCUUUUCCCUGCAGAAAGUCUCUGAAACUACACGCUACAUUCAAUUUCACAUUCAUUUCAGCAGCAAUGACACUGUAAACCUACUCAUUUCUUACAGGGCUUUUGCAAUAUGUAUUUUAGCAUAGACAUUCAGCAGUGAGUGACUUUUGAUCUAAAAUGAACUAAAAAUAUUUUAUUAUCAAAAAUUGUGUGUGCCUGUGUGGGUAAGUGAGGGAGCAAGGUUAGCCCUCAGCUGUAUUUUUCUUGAGUGUCUUCUGACAUAAACUUGUUCAAAAGAGAAUUAUUUACACUCAGAGUUACAUUAACAAAUGAAAAUAGGAUCCUCAUCUGGAAGAUUUGCUUUAAGGCCCUCAGAAAUAACAUUGUUUGUUCAGACUUGGUGAGAGAGAUGGGAAUACAUUGUACGUUGGUGGAAGAAGACAUAUGGAAAGGUUUGAAGCAAGUCAGCAUCUUGCUAAGCAAGAGAGAGAAUACCGGAUAAAUAAGUAUGUGUCCUGCGGAAAUAGCUGCUCAGACACUAAAGGCUAAAAUAAGUCUUUGGUUGUGUACAGACAUUUUGCAGAUAAUAAAAUUGUUAUCAAUGAAAGGGUAGUUUACCUG
rnacentral:lncRNA from 1 species